GGGGAUUUAGCUCAGCGGCAUAAGCGCCUGCCUGGCAAGCAUGAGGUCACGAGUUCGAUCCGUAUUUUUUA
rfam:Cavia porcellus supercont2_41 genomic scaffold, whole genome shotgun sequence.